UUAAUUUGAAGCGUUUGAUCAUGGAACAGAUUGAACGAUGGCGGCAGGCCUAACACAUGCAAGGAGAACGAGAAAUGGAAAAAGCUUGAUUUUUCUCUGUCGAGUGG
rnacentral:rRNA from 1 species